AAAACAUUGGCUAUUUAACUACUCAGGAGGAAAAACUAGGUGUUCCUAGUUUUUCCUAGGUGGAAGGGGGAAGCAGGCUAAAAAGCAGUUUUUAGGGUUUCAGAUAUGUAAUUGUGGCAGCAGGCACAGCAUCAGGAGAUCUUGCUUGGACUGCCCUUAAGUACGCUGCUCCAGAGAACUCUGCUCUACAUUGUCAGAAACCAGCUUUCAAGAUAUACUCAGAGAAGAAUCACGAGUGCCAAGAGAGACCAUGAGGCAAACUGCUCUCCAUUGAAGUAUGGAAGCCUACUUGGGACACUAAGUUUCAUGCAGAAGGCUCCAUGAGUUUACAGAAUCUCAAGGAAGAAAGGCCCCUAGAGAUGACACCAGAAAUGAGAGUGGCUUGCUCAUGAAAAUUGGACAGCAUGUUCCAAGCAGAGGGAACAGCAUGGAGAAGAAAAAUCAUACUCUAUCCACGUGCAGAAACUGGCAAUUAGUUUUGUAUUACUAAAACACAAAUGUUUAACUUGGGGGUCCACAAACAAGGAUAUGUUGGCAAAUGGUAUUUGCUGUGCAUGAUGACAACUUGAACUUUCAUCAGGUUUUUUAUGGGUCUAUGAAAUGGGUCAAGGGGACUUAGCUAAGAAUGACUGUGGGUAAAAUGCAUGACAAGGAGGGAUACAGACAGGAGAUGAAUCUCUCAGGGUCCAAGAGACCAGGGUAAGAUGUGCAGAUUCCUUCCUGUGUAUGAUGGAAAUGUUUUACAGGGUCUGAAGGGGGAAGUUUAGAAGGACAGCCUGCUGAAAUGGGGACAGCUUGAAAUGCAGAGCAAGGCAGAAUGCAGACAACACUCCAAGGCAUCUAAGGAGCCAAACAGAGGCAGUGGGAAUAGAACAGAGUGAAUCAGAGACAGGUUAGGAGAGAAAAUGAGCAGCUUCCAUGUUCAUAUUUGCUUGCAUAUGCAUAAAAUGUCACUAGAAGAUUCUCAGUUAACUAACACUGGUUACCUGUGGAUUAGUGAAAUGGGUGACAGGGGAAUGAGGAUGAGAGGGAGUACUUUCACUCUAGAGCCAUGCGUACCUUUUGAACCAUGAGGAUACUACCUAUUCUAAAAAUAAAUUUAAAAAAAGACAUGAAGGUUAUCAGAAUGAGAUGCCUCUAUGUAAAAACCUGCCUAGGUCCCCCUCCAAACCCCCUCUUAUGUUUUAAGUUGCACUUUUGAAUUCAGAUCAUUUUUAUGCCAAAGGCUACCAGACUGUACCAAUGACUGACCCUUGAGAAAGGCCAAUCUUUCUGCUUACUGUGGUGAUAAAUAUAUCAAGCCUAACUUAUCAUGUCGAUGUAAAUAAUGAGUUACCUGGGUAAAUUCAACCAACUUAACAAUUAGGUGUCAAAACAUCAGUAUGAAGAAUUAACUCCAGGAGCUCAAUCUUUUAAAUUUCAUGGUAAAUAAAAGAGGCUCAGAGAAGACUCUGAUUUAUUAAAACAAGGAUAAAUCACAUGAAUCACUGACGCGAAGGUCAGAUUGUCGAUUCACUCUGGUGAGUGUUAUGCUAAGUUAGGCUAGCCCUUCAGCUAAAAAUGACUUUAUUCUAUUGAAACUCCUGUUCAACCUAUAUAGCGUUUAAGGCAGGUACUCCAAAUAUAAUUGACUUAAAUUGAAUGGCUUUAUUAAUUUCAAAUUAGUAAUGAGUGAAUAUAAAUGUAAGAGUUUAAAAAAAAGUUUUGUAAAACUAUGUAACAUUGUUUUCCAUUUGGCUAAGUUCAAAUGUACUAAAUUUGCAAUUCUUGUUCAAAACAUUUAAUGUAACCCAUUAAACUUGUUCAUCAAAAACAUACUGUGUCCAGAG
rnacentral:lncRNA from 1 species